UACGUAGGUGGCAAGCGUUGUCCGGAAUUAUUGGGCGUAAAGGGCUCGUAGGCGGUUUGUCGCGUCGGGAGUGAAAUCCACUGGCUUAACUGGUGGCUUGCUUUCGAUACGGGCAGACUGGAGGUAUGCAGGGGAGAACGGAAUUCCUGGUGUAGCGGUGAAAUGCGUAGAUAUCGUAAGGAAGACCAGUGGCGAAGGCGGGUCUCUGGACAGUUCCUGACGCUGAGGCACGAAGGCUAGGGGAGCAAACGGG
rnacentral:rRNA from 1 species